AACCCUUUGUGACGUACUGAAAAGUUGCUUCGGCGGGAGGCUCCUCAGGGAGCGGACCGCCGGAGGAAUCCAAACUCUUGUUUUUUUGGCAUCUCUGAGUAGCUUAUAAAUAAGUUAAAACUUUCAACAACGGAUCUCUUGGUUCUGGCAUCGAUGAAGAACGCAGCGAAAUGCGAUACGUAAUGUGAAUUGCAGAAUUCAGUGAAUCAUCGAAUCUUUGAACGCACAUUGCGCCCGCCAGUAUUCUGGCGGGCAUGCCUGUUCGAGCGUCAUUUCAACCAUCAAGCCCCAGGCUUGUGUUGGAGCCCUGCGGCUGCCGCAGCCUCCUAAAAGCAGUGGCGGGCUCGCUAUCACACCGAGUGCAGUAGUUUACUCUUCGCUCAGGGCGUGUGGCGGGUUCCAGCCGUUAAACCCCCUACUUUUACAAGGUUGACCUCGGAUCAGGUAGGAAUACCCGCUGAACUUAA
rnacentral:rRNA from 1 species